rnacentral:misc_RNA from 1 species
GAUGAAGAACGUAGCAAAAUGCGAUAAGUAAUGUGAAUUGCAGAAUUCAGUGAAUCAUCGAAUCUUUGAACGCACAUUGCGCCCGCCAGCACUCUGGCGGGCAUGCCUGUUCGAGCGUCAUUUCAACCAUCAAGCCCCCAGGGGCUUGUGCUGGGGCCCUGCGGCUGCCCGCAGGCCCUGAAAACCAGUGGCGGGCUCGCUAGUCACACCGAGCGCAGUAGCACAUCUCGCUCAGGGCGUGCGGCGGGUUCUUGCCGUAAAACAACCCCCCCUUUUCACCAAGGUUGACCUCGGAUCAGGUAGGAAUACCCGCUGAACUUAAGCAUAUCAAUAGCGGAGGA